rnacentral:rRNA from 1 species
AUUGAACGCGGGCGGCACGCCUAACACAUGCAAGUUGAGCGGACGAAGGAAACUUGCUCCUGCAUCCAGCGUCGGACGGCUGAGUAAUGCCUAGCAAACUGCCUGGUAGUGGCAGAUAACAUCCAGCAACGGGCGCUAAUACCACAUACGUCCUGAGGGAGAAACGGUGUGUCCUUCGGACCUCACUCUAUCACAUGAUCCUAGGUCGGAUUAGCUAGUUGGUGGGCUAAAGGCCUACCACGGCGACGAUCCGUAACUGGUCUGAGAGGAUGAUCAGUCACACUGGAACUGCGACCCGGUCCAGACUCCUACGGGACGCAACAGUGGGGAAUUUAGGAAAAUGGGCGAAAGCCUGAUCGAGCUACGCCGCGUGUGUGCAGAAGGUCUUCGGAUUGUAAAGCACUUUCAGUUGGGAGGAAGGGCUGUAAGGUAAUAACUUGCUGUAUUGACGUUACCAACAGAAUAAGCAAAGGCUAACUUCGUG